UAGGGAAUCUUCCACAGUGGACGAAAGUCUGAUGGAGCAACGCCGCGUGAGUGAAGAAGGGUUUCGGCUCGUAAAACUCUGUUGUUAAAGAAGAACAUAUCUGAGAGUAACUGUUCAGGUAUUGACGGUAUUUAACCAGAAAGCCACGGCUAACUACGCGCCAG
rnacentral:rRNA from 1 species